UACGGGGGGUGCAAGCGGUAUUCGGAAUUAUUGGGCGUAAAGGGCGCGUAGGCGGUUGAAUAAGUCAGAUGUGAAAGCCCUUGGCUUAACCAAGGAAGUGCAUUUGAUACUAUUUGACUUGAGUAUGGGAGAGGGAAGUGGAAUUCCUGGUGUAGAGGUGAAAUUCGUAGAUAUCAGGAGGAACACCGGUGCCGAAAGCGACUUCCUGGACCAAUACUGACGCUGAGGCGCGAAGGCGUGGAGAGCAGACAGG
rnacentral:rRNA from 1 species